rnacentral:lncRNA from 1 species
CUAGAAUACGGUGGCACGAUUUCAGCUCACUACAACCUCCGCCUCCUGGGUUCAAGAGAUUCUCCUGUCUCAGCCUCCCCAGUAGCUGGGAUUACAGGUAUGUGCCACCACGCCCAGCUAAUUUUUGUAUUUUUUUAGUAGAGACAGGGUUUCGCCAUGUUGGUCAGGCUGGUCUUGAACUCCUGACCUCAAGGUGAUCUGCCCACCUUGGCCUCCCAAAGUGCUGGGAUUACAGGAGUGAGCCACUGUGCCCGGCCUUUUUAUAAUUUCUAACUCUUUGCUGAGAUUUUCUAUUUUCUCCAAGGUUUCAAGAAAGUUUUUAAUUGCUUAUUGAAGCACUUUUAUGAUGGCUAUUUUUAAAUCAUUGUUGGGUAACUGCAAGACCUCAGUGUUGGCAUCAGAUGAUUGUCUUCUCAUUCAUGUUGUGAUCUUCCUGGUUCUUGAUAUGAUUGGUGGUUUCCAAUUGUAUCCUGGACCUUUUGGUUAUCAUGUUAAGACACUCUGGGUCUCAUUUAAAUCUUUUAUUUUAGAAGGCAGUCAUACACCCUGUUGGGGUUUAACAUGCAGGUCCUGACCUACUUUUGUGGGCUGUAGUUUCAAUGACAAUUUCCUUGGAAAAUAGCCUUUGCAGUGCUAUCUUGGUAUGUUUGGUUUAUAUGGUAUCACUGGGGCUCCCGCUGGUCUCUACUGGUACUGCCUAUGUGGGUGGCAAGAAAUUCCCCAAGCCAGGCCACCUGGUCUAAGUAUGGAAUGGGGAUCUCCAGCCUGCAAGGACAAAGAGGCUUCCCAUUUUGGGUUUCUUGUUGUGGCAGGAUCACCUUUAUUGGUGCUACCUGGCUGCCCAGUGUUUCUGAGUGGGAGAGGGAAGUCUCUGGCCCACAAGGAUAAAGAGGCUUCCUGGACCACACACCCAUUAUGACCAGAUCUCCCUUGCUAAUGCCACCCAGCUGCUUGGUGUCUCUGGGUGAAGAAGCAAAAUUCUCUUGCCUGUGAGAACACAGGGGCUUCCCAUACUUGACUGCAUGUUGUGGCCAGAUCCCCUUUCCUGGUGUUUUCUGGGUAGAUGUCCAGUGUCUCUGAAUGUUCAGUGCCUCUGGGUAGACGAGAGUCGCAGUCCCACAGAAACAAAGAGGCUUUCUGGGCCACUUCUAGAAUCCUUCUUGUUGGAGCCACUCAGAUACCUGAUGUCUCUUGGUGGGAAAGAGAAGCUGCAGGUCCGGUGAGGAAGGAAACCCCUUCUCUUAACCACUUACGGUCAUUAGGGCUCUUUACAGGUGCUGUGGAUGUUGCUGGAGGGAUUUCUGUUAGAUAUGGGUGAGAAUUAGUCUAGCUGGGCCACCCUCUAUUGCUAGGUUGGCAUUCAGAAACACUAGGCCUGGGCCACCUUCUGUUGUUGCUGUUGUUGGUGGGGGUUGUGAGGUCCCUGCUGUUAUGUUGUUUCUCUAGUACUGACAUAACUAGUUUGCCUUCCUCUUUUCACCUUUCAGAAUUCUCCUUUGGUUGCCUCUUGUUUUUUCCAGGGUUUACAGUUAUCCUCAGUGGGAGGAGCAAGAAAAAAUAGGUCUAUGCCAUCUUGUCUGAACUGGAAAUUCCUGUUUCUUGUUUUAAUGUUUGACAGCACGGAAACGUAUAAAGUAGGCUGACAUUACUACAUUACUUGCAAUUCAUAUAAUGUUAAUUGUCAUGGAAAUGACUCUACCAUAGCAUAAGUUUCGCAGGCAAGUGCUGUUUGCCUUGUAAUUUUUGGUUGAAUCCAUUAAAAACAUUAUCCAAAAGAAAGGGAGAUAGGGAAAAGGGAGAAGGGAGAGGGAAAACAUGUUUGGAGGGCAGUAGCAAAUCAAAGAACACAGGUUCCAGGGCUGCCUCUACUCAGCUCUGACUACAGUCAUUUAGAAAUUUGGCCCAGUGUUACCAAAUGUUUUGUUUUGACAAGAGAAGCCAAAAGUCUAAUUUUUAAUGUGAACACCCCCACCCCCGCCCACCGACGACUCUUUU